rnacentral:piRNA from 1 species
AAGGAAGUCAGGUUAGGAACUCAA